AGCUCCAAUAGCGUAUAUUAAAGUUGUUGCAGUUAAAAAGCUCGUAGUUGGAUGUCUGGUGGGAGAGAUUGGUCCAACACACUGUGUUGGAACUGAAUCCUCUCCGGUAAUCCUUGGGUGGAUCUUGUCUGGCAUUAAGUUGUCAGUCAGGGGAUGCCCAUCGUUUACUGUGAAAAAAUUAGAGUGUUCAAAGCAGGCUUAUGCCAUUGUAUAUAUUAGCAUGGAAUAAUAAGAUAGGGCCCUGGUGCUAUUUUGUUGGUUUGCGUACCGAGGUAAUGAUUAAUAGGGUCAGUUGGGGGUAUUUAUAUUCAGUAUUCAGUGGUGAAAUACUUAGACCUACGGAAGACAAACUACUGCAAAGCAUUUACCAAGGAUGUUUUCA
rnacentral:rRNA from 1 species